CGUGUGACUGGCGGAGCAAGUGGGAAAACCACAGGGAGCACGUUUCAGAUUGAGCCGACCGCCUGGGCACCUC
rnacentral:ncRNA from 1 species